rnacentral:rRNA from 1 species
AUUGAACGCUGGCGGCAUGCUUUACACAUGCAAGUCGAACGGCAGCGCGGGCUUCGGCCUGGCGGCGAGUGGCGAACGGGUGAGUAAUGCAUCGGAACGUGCCCAGCAGUGGGGGAUAGCCCGGCGAAAGCCGGAUUAAUACCGCAUACGACCUGAGGGUGAAAGCGGGGGACCGAAAGGCCUCGCGCUCUUGGGGCGGCCGAUGCGGGACUGGCUAGUUGGUGGGGUAAAGGCUUACCAAGGCGACGAUCCGUAGCUGGUCGGAGAGGACGAGCGGCCACACUGGGAGUGAGACACGGCCCAGACUCCUACGGGAGGCAGCAGUGGGGAAUUUUGGACAAUGGGGGCAACCCUGAUCCAGCCAGGCCGCGUGCGGGAAGAAGGCCUUCGGGUUGUAAACCGCUUUUGUUCGGGAAGAAAUCCUCUGGGCUAAUACCCCGGGGGGAUGACGGUACCGGAAGAAUAAGCACCGGCUAACUACGUG